UACGUAGGGGGCAAGCGUUGUUCGGAAUUACUGGGCGUAAAGGGCGCGUAGGUGGCCUUCUAAGUUGAACGUGAAAUCCCUAGGCUCAACCCAGGAACUGCGUCCAAGACUGGGAGGCUUGAAUCCGGGAGAGGGAUGCGGAAUUCCAGGUGUAGCGGUGAAAUGCGUAGAUAUCUGGAGGAACACCGGUGGCGAAGGCGGCAUCCUGGACCGGUAUUGACGCUGAGGAGCGAAAGCGUGGGGAGCGAACAGG
rnacentral:rRNA from 1 species